ensembl:piRNA 21ur-11509 ncRNA
UUAAUAAUGGACGCAGUUUUC